GACGAACGCUGGCGGCGUGCUUAACACAUGCAAGUCGAACGGAAAGGCCCCUUUGGGGGUACUCGAGUGGCGAACGGGGGAGUAACACGUGAGUAACCUGCCCUUGACUUCGGGAUAACUUCAGGAAACUGGGGCUAAUACCGGAUAGGAAUCCUUGCUGCAUGGUGGGGGUUGGAAAGCUUCGGCGGUUUUGGAUGGACUCGCGGCUUAUCAGCUUGUUGGUGGGGUAGUGGAUUACCAAGGCUUUGACGGGUAGCCGGCCUGGGAGGGCGACCGGCCACAUUGGGACUGAGAUACGGCCCAGACUCCUACGGGAGGCAGCAGUGGGGAAUAUUGCACAAUGGGCGGAAGCCUGAUGCAGCAACGCCGCGUGCGGGAUGACGGCCUUCGGGUUGUAAACCGCUUUCAGCAGGGGCGAAGCUUGUGGUGACGGUACCUGCAGAAGAAGCACCGGCUAACUACGUG
rnacentral:rRNA from 1 species